UACGUAGGGUGCAAGCGUUAAUCGGAAUUACUGGGCGUAAAGCGUGCGCAGGCGGUUUUGUAAGUCUGUCGUGAAAUCCCCCGGGCUCAACCUGGGAAUUGCGAUGGAGACUGCAAGGCUAGAAUCUGGCAGAGGGGGGUAGAAUUCCACGUGUAGCAGUGAAAUGCGUAGAGAUGUGGAGGAACACCGAUGGCGAAGGCAGCCCCCUGGGUCAAGAUUGACGCUCAUGC
rnacentral:rRNA from 1 species